UCACAUUGAAACUUCAGUUUCCAUAUGAUCACCGACAUUAAGCAAUGUUGAGCAUAAUCAGUACCUAGAUGGGUGAUCACUUCGGAAUACCAGGUGAUGUAAG